rnacentral:rRNA from 1 species
CCUACGGGAGGCAGCAGUGGGGAAUAUUGCACAAUGGGGGAAACCCUGAUGCAGCGACGCCGCGUGAGCGAAGAAGUAUUUCGGUAUGUAAAGCUCUAUCAGCAGGGAAGAAAAUGACGGUACCUGAGUAAGAAGCUCCGGCUAAAUACGUGCCAGCUGCCGCGGUAAUACGUAUGGAGCAAGCGUUAUCCGGAUGUACUGGGCGUAAGGGGAGCGUAGGCGGCCUGCCAAGUCUGAUGUGAAAUACCUGGGCUCAACCCCGGGGCUUCAGUGGAAACUGGCUGGCUGGAGUGCUGGAGAGGCAGGCGGAAUGCGCAGUGUAGCGGUGAAAUGCGUAGAUAUUAGGCGGAACACCAGUGGCGAAGGCGGCAUGCUGGAGGGUGUCUGACGCUGAGGCUCGAAAGCGUGGGUAGCGAACAGGAUUAGAUACCCCAGUAGUC